rnacentral:misc_RNA from 1 species
UUUCCGUAGGUGAACCUGCGGAAGGAUCAUUAAUGUAACCGGACUGUUCGGGUGCCGUAAAACGCAUCUGUUCGGAAAGGGUGAUAUCAUACACCCUAUGUUUAUUUACUUUUGUUGCUUUGGCGGGCCGUCCUUUUAGGCAUCGGCCCUGGCUGAUCGUGCCCGCCAGAGGACCUAAACUCUUCUAUCAGUGAUGUCUGAGUACUAUAUAAUAGUUAAAACUUUCAACAACGGAUCUCUUGGUUCUG